AGACACAUGUUAUUUCUCUACAACCACUGAGUCUGUUAGUAUUGUACACAUAUUAAAUGCUCAAUGGUUUGCUGAACAAAUCUUCAUAGAUACUUCAACUCACAUAUUUAAAUAAAGCUGAACCUGAAUGAAGAGAUCUCCAUGUCUGGAUAAGGUCCAUGGUUUGUUUCCGAAAGGGGCAAAAGUUGGAUGCAGCCAGAGAUUCUUUGUUGAUUUGUUCAUAGUUAUCUAUUUUUUGAAGGCACACAGGACACGGUGGGGAUGCAGCAUCUUGGACCUCAUCCGCCUGUGCUCUAAUUCAAAGACAAAUAUGUUUCCCAACUUGCCCAAGGCUCUGGCAGGGAAAACUCAGAUCCCCAAACUCAGGUCAUUCUAGUGCAGCAAUAACCAGCUGGGUUUUCAGCAACUUGGAUGGAGCCAUCUGUUUUCCCAGCCCACAUAAAAAUAUGCACAAGCAGGGUGCAAAUCAGCAAGUCCACAGCUUCCAGAGGCCCCAGCUGGGAUGUGCCCUCCCUUUGGGGACUAAUGAAAGGUAAAUCCAGUGUCAAAAGACAGAGGGCCAGCAGCAAGACUAUGGAGCUAAGUGAGUCCAGACUCUGGUCCCUUUUCUGCCUUUGCCUGAAAUAGAGCCCAUCUGGCUCCCUGGCCACUGUGCUUGUGUGAAGGGCACUGCAGUGCAUGCUGAAUGCCUGGAAAAUUACCAGAG
rnacentral:lncRNA from 1 species